AUUUUGACCGUGCAAAGGUAGCAUAAUCAUUUGCCCUAUAAUUAAGGGCUAGUAUGAAUGGUUCGACGUAAGCAAAACUGUCUCUGUAAUGAUUUUCUAGAAUUUGAUUUUUAGGUGAAGAAACCUAAAUUUUAUUAAAAGACAAGAAGACCCUAUUGAGCUUAAAAAAAAUAAAUGGAGUAGUUACUAUUUUAUCAAAGGUUUAUCUGUUUAAUAUUUUGGUUGGGGCGACUAAGGAACAAAUAAAGCUUCUUGACUUACUAAAGUUCCUACAGAUUUUGAUCCAAUUAUUUUGAUUAAAGAAAUUAGUUACCAUAGGGAUAACAGCAUAAUUCUUUUUGAGAGUUCUUAUCGAAAAGAGAGUUUGUGACCUCGAUGUUGGACUAGAAUAUCCUAAAGAUGCAG
rnacentral:rRNA from 1 species